rnacentral:misc_RNA from 1 species
AACGCACAUUGCGCCCUCUGGUAUUCCGGGGGGCAUGCCCGUUCGAGCGUCAUUUCAAACCCUCAAGCUCCGCUUGGCCAUGGGCGCCGCCCCCCGCACGACGGGCGGGCGCGCCUCAAAGACCUCGGCGGCGGCGUCGAGCCUCUAAGCGUAGUAGAAACACCCCGCUUCCUGAGGCCCGGAGCCGCCCGCCCCCAGUCACCAGACACCUCCAAGGUUGACCUCGGAUCGGGUAGGGAUACCCGCUGAACUUAA